AGAAUAACCCCCCUCGCAGUUUCAGCAACUUUUCUCUUUUUUUUCUUCUUAUGCUCUACUAUAUUGGGGAGGAACUCCUGUAGAGACGCAGAAGAAGAAGAAGAUAUUCAUCGGUCCGGCGCGCUUAUCGGUACGCGCCUAGUCUAAGCCCAGCAGCCAUCCAUCCAGCCAGCCCCCCCUUAGACGGUGGUGGUGGGUGCCGUCGACUAUGGCGCGACCAACGACUUUUUUUUUGGCUGCCAAAGUUCAUUCCAAUGUUUACGGUCUUAGGCAUUUGAAAGGAAAAAAGAAAAUGGGUAUACCUUUUUCUCCGAUCAUUCCCAGGACCCGGUUACGAGACACUCUCUCUGCUCCUGCUGUCUUUUUCUUUCAGGUGUUGGCCAGAUGAAGUGGCUCCAGGACAAGAUCCAUCCAGCAGCAGCAGGGGUGUAAAACGUCGUUACGUUCUUUCUCUUUCCCGCCAGCACGUCGUCAUAUUUCCAACAUUUCUUUUCUUUUUUUUUUGCUCGGCCCAUCUGCGUAAAUGAAUAAGAAUUUUCCGGCAUUUUUUCUUCUUUAACCAGUUUCAAACAAAAUAUGUUUCUAUCCAACGAGUUUUUUCCAAAUGGCAUUUAUUUCUGCCGACACUUUACUUUCUUUUAACGGCCUUCCUGACAACCUUCUCUAUUCAAACUUUAAACAUAUUGUGAAUGAAAGGAUAUGGCACAUGAUUCUUCCGACGACCUUUUUUUUCCCUCCACCACUUUUGGGUGUAUUUCGCCGGAGCAGCGGAUUACAACAUCGUCGAAUACCAUUCCGUCGUCGUCAGAAGAUGGACACAUAGAUUCUGAAAGGUUUAGACCCAUUAAAGAAAAGCCCCCCGCUUGCCAUGUAGAAGAAUGUUAAAGAAAGAAAGUCCCUUUCUCCGCUCAUAUAAUAGUAAUAAUAAUAUAUCCCCCUAUGUGUGUAUUAUAUGAUAAUCUCUAUGGGGGCACAAAUUGAAGAUGUCGCCAUCGGGGCUUUCUUCUUUUUCUUUCUUAAACAAUUUUUUGAUCGAAAACUUGUUUUCCCCGUGCUGCAACUAAAUCCCCCCUUGUUUCCGUGUAAUCGCUUUUGGUUGUUGUUUCUUUUAUUCUCCACUUUCCAGUCGAGUUUCUAGUAAUUGGGUGCGUGAUGGAUGAUUGAGAUCGAAAAAGAGCUCUGCUGUCCUGUUUUGUUUUGUUAUAUUUCGAUAGAAAAAGAAAACUUAUGACGACUGUCUGUUGCUCCUGUUGUUCGGUGCACCCCCGGAAAAGAAACAUGGCGCGCGCCCACGUUUUUCCAGCAGACAAUAAAAAGGAACGACCAUUUUUCCAGAGAAA